rnacentral:rRNA from 1 species
GGCUUGUUGAUAAUAAUUUCAGGUCUGACCUGCCCAAUGAUAAUUUUAAAUGGCCGCAGUAUUUUGACUGUGCAAAGGUAGCAUAAUCAUUAGUUUYUUAAUUGGAAACUGGAAUGAAAGGUUUGAUGAAAAAAUUUCUGUCUCUGGAAAAGUUAAUUAGAAUUUUAUUUUUAAGUUAAGAAGCUUAAAUGUGUAUAGAAGACGAGAAGACCCUAUAGAGUUUUAUAUUUUUAGGAAAUAAAUUUUUUGGGAAUAAAAUAUUUUGUUUUUGAAAAAAUAUUUUGUUGGGGUGAUAAAAAAAUUUAAUUAACUUUUUUUUGUUUAAAACAUUAAUGUAUGAAUAAUUGAUCCUUGAGUUUAGAUUAUAAGAUUUAAUUACCUUAGGGAUAACAGCGUAAUUUUUUUAAGAGUUCUUAUCGGAAAAAAAGAUUGCGACCUCGAUGUUGGAUUAAAAUUAAUUUUUGGUGUAGAGGCUAAAAAAUUGGGUCUGUUCGAACCUUUAAAUUUUA